rnacentral:rRNA from 1 species
AUGAGCAGCGGCGGCGGCGACGACGAUGCGGGGGCUGGGGACGGCGGGCGGGCCGAGUGGCAGCGCAUCUACGACCGGGUCGAGGCGCUCGCCGCCGGUCGCGCGCGGCUGGAGGCGCGCAACAGGACCCAGCAUGAGUUCUGGGACGCCCGCGACAAGAUCAACCACUCCCGCCUCCACCAGGCGGAGCUGAGCAGAAGCAGGUGGGAGGCGGCCUGCAGGGAGCUGCUCCCUUCCGAUGAUCCCAAGCUCGCCGAACUGCUAGAGAGUGAUUUGGAGGAUUCAAGAACUUGUGAAGCUCUCUUGGACACCGAAAACUUAGAACUGCUGGUACAACUGAAGGAAGAUGGAACUUGUGUAGAGCUUAAUGAAAACACUGCAGAUCAUGAGCACACUUCCGGAGAUUUAAUAUCAGAACUAAGAAAGUUAAAGCGAAUCUAUGAGACCCUUCUAGAGGGUAAGCUAAAUGAAUUGAACUCCUUGGAUAAGGAGAAUGACAACCAGAAGCUCAAAGUUGCGAAAUCUAAGACACUUAAACGCAAGUUUGCCUCCUUAUCAAAUAUACAAUCAAAGGAAGCUGGAAAUUGUGUGGAGACUAUUCAAGAGAAUGCGGAUCAUGGGGCCAUCGCAAGAGAUUUAAGAGCAGAGCUCAGAAAACUGAAGCAAGCUUAUGAGACCCUUAGCUCAAACAAGGAUAAGGAAAUUUCUGCACCACUUGCAGUGGAGGAUUUUCUUUUGAACAAACUGCUGAGAAUUGACAAGGACAACGCAGGGCUCCUUAAGAUAAAGGAAGUGGAGGCAGCACAAGCUAACGAAGCAGCACAAAAGCUUCAGCAGACUGUAGAGGAACUGCAAGUGGCGGUCCGAUAUAAGGAUGAUGAGAUUGGCAGAUUACGAGCAGAAGCGGGGCCCCUUAAGAUAAAGGAAGUGGAGGCAGCACAAGCUAGCAAAGCAGUGCAAAUGCUUCAGCAAAGUGUAGAGGAGCUGCAAGUGGCAGUCGGAAAUAAAGAUGAUGAGAUUGGCAAAUUGGGAGCAGAAGCUGCUAGUGUAGAAAAAAUGGUACUGACUCUUGAGGGUAAGCUACUGGAAAUGCAGUCCUUGGUUAAGGAGAAAAAUGAUGAAAUACAAAAACUGAAAAAUGGGCAACCUGAGAGUCUGAAAUGCAAAUGUGCUUCUUCUAUACCAGUUGUAAGUAUUCCUAUUCCAUUCCAGGAGUUCGUGAGGCAGAUGCCCCUUUUCGACGAGUGGGGGCUGCGCCCGGCCGGCCUUGAAGGGCCCCGCGAGAACCCCGCCCUUGUGGUUCCUUUGCCCGCCGUCCCUGCGGCGCGCCCCCCAGAGGUGGAUGCAGGGGGGCGAGCGCCGCCGAGUGCCGCUGGGGCAGGUGCUGGAGAGAUGAUGCAGCCCGGCGCUUCUGAGACGUCAGCCCCCGAGGCUCGGGUGAGCUGCCCUGAGGGGGUGGCAGGAGAGAUGGCUCAAUCCAAGGCUCCUGAGGUCGCCGCCCCCGAAGCUUGGGUGAGCAGUCCUGAGGUGGAGGCUGGGGAGCUGGCACGGCCUGACGCUCCCGAGGUCGCCACCCCAGGGGCCCCGCCGAACGACCCAGACGCCGACGCUCUCGCCUCUUGCGCCUCGCGCCUUGGCCCGCUCCGCAUAAACUUCGAAGCACUCCGCAAGAUGAAACCGAGUGGUCGUGCCUAUCGGCUGCUGAAGCCGAGGAUGUACAUAGCCAUAGACGAGUAA